rnacentral:rRNA from 1 species
CCUACGGGUGGCAGCAGUAGGGAAUUUUCGGCAAUGGGGGGAACCCUGACCGAGCAACGCCGCGUGAAGGAAGAAGGAAUUCGUUCUGUAAACUUCUGUUAUAAAGGAAGAAAGACGGAUGGAGGAAAUGACAUCCGAGUGAAGGUACUUUAUGAAAAAGCCACGGCUAACUACGUGCCAGCAGCCGCGGGAAAACGUAGGUGGCAAUCGUUAUCCGGAAUUAUUGGGCGGAAAGAGGGAGCAGGCGGCAGCAAAGGUCUGUGGUGAAAGACUGAAGCUGAACCUUAGUAAGCUAUAGAAACGGGGCAGCUAGAGUGCAGGAGAGGAGCGUGGAAUUCCAUGUGUAGCGGUGAAAUGCGUAGAUAUAUGGAGGAACACCAGUGGCGAAGGCGACGAUCUGGCCUGCAACUGACGCUCAGUCCCGAAAGCGUGGGGAGCAAAUAGGAUUAGAUACCCUUGUAGUC